UACGUAGGGGGCGAGCGCUGUCCGGAAUUAUUGGGCGUAAAGAGCGUGUAGGCGGUUCGGUAAGUCUGCCGUGAAAACCUGAGGCUCAACCUCGGGCGUGCGGUGGAUACUGCCGGGCUAGAGGACGGUAGAGGCGAGUGGAAUUCCCGGUGUAGCGGUGAAAUGCGCAGAUAUCAGGAGGAACACCGGUGGCGAAGGCGGAUCUCUGGGCCUUACCUGACGCUGAGGCGCGAAAGCUAGGGGAGCGAACAGG
rnacentral:rRNA from 1 species